rnacentral:lncRNA from 1 species
GGGUAUACAAUUACAUGAAGUGAAAGGACUAAAUUUUAUUAAAACCUUCAUUAAAGGAAUAUCUGCUAAUACACCCUGCAGAAUCUGCAAACUAUUUACUAAAAAGAGAUGCUAGCAUACAAGCUAAUUUUUGAACUCCUGAUAAAAGCCAUCAGAAGUACCAGCAACAACAGUUUCCUCUAUGACGGCAAGUCUGCAACCAUCCCUCAAACAUGAGGAGCAAGCUUUUACACAAUUUCAUUGUCUCCAGAUUUUGAGAGUAACAAUUUCUUUCUGUGACUUCCAAAUGAAGGGGAUCCAAAAGAUUAUGAUAUAAUAUGAGUAGGAAAAGAAUAUAAAAUAUAAAGGUCAAUGUAUUACAAAGUGAAUAGUGGGGGCAUAGAGUGGCCGGGGUGUUUCAUUGCAGAUAUUGAAUAGAAGGCGCUACAGACUAUUAAAAUAUUUUUAUUUCUUUUCUUACUAAAUAUCAAAAAUUAAUACUUUACAUCAACUUCAUGCAAAAAAAGGAAAAAAUAUCAAGGACAAAGAUAUAAAACAUCACAAAGCUCGCAUCAUAAGUUAUAUAAAAUAAGUUAUACAAUCAUAUAUAAACAUGCAUUAUUCUCCAUAGACCACGCACAUCACAUGCCCUGAAGACAUAUCACUAACUAACAAAUUAGUAAGCUUGGGCCAAGCCCUUUGUCUAAUGGCCAUUUCCCA